rnacentral:rRNA from 1 species
UACAGAGACUGCAAGCGUUAUUCGGAUUCAUUGGGCGUAAAGGGUGCGUAGGUGGCGCGCUAAGUCAGGUGUGAAAUCUCGGGGCUUAACUCCGAAACUGCAUUUGAUACUGGCGUGCUUGAGGACUGGAGAGGAGACUGGAAUUCAUGGUGUAGCAGUGAAAUGCGUAGAGAUCAUGAGGAAGACCAGUGGCGAAGGCGGGUCUCUGGACAGUUCCUGACACUGAGGCACGAAGGCCAGGGGAGCAAACGGG